GCUGACACUUAAGUAAGCAAGGUUACUGUAAACAUUUCCGACCAGACCGACUAUGUUGUUAUUCGUAGUAAUUGCGUGUUUGGUUGGCUGUAAUACAGGAAGGACAUUCACGAACUACCCAAACGAUUGGAUAGCCCACGAUGGGUCGUGCUACCUGUUUGGUCACGAGGACAACUAACUUGAUUUCACAACCGCCGAGCAAUUCUGUCGCCAGCGCGGAGGUCAUCUGAUUCACGUGGAUGACGCGCAAGAAAACGCCUUCAUAAAGGACCAGCUGAAUGAACGCAAACCUAUUCAUUGGUGGCUGGGCAUUACUGACGGGGAUGCGAAAUGGGUCUGGAGAUGGUUUGACGAUGACACUGUGGCUGAAUAUACAGACUUUGAGUCGAAUGACCAUUUCCACCCAGGUGAAGACUGUGGGUUGUUUGCAUCAAUCUAUGAGUUCAGAUGGGCUGACAUUGAAUGUACAGCUCACUACCCCCCUCUUUGCGAACUAAGUGCACGCAACACUGAGGUCGAGACUGUUGGCUAAUAUCGAUGAGAUGACAUCUUGACACUUUCUUACUUCUUUUGUGUACAAGGACGAAUAUGUGUAAUUAAUGUACCAAUGAAUAUUAAUAUUAGACAUGACGUACUUGGUAAGAUAAAAGGCUUCAGCUUAGUUGGAUAUUUUUUAAUAUAAAAAAGAAUAGCGACAUAAAGUCAAAGGCGUUUGAUAAUAAUAAGGUGGGCCUAACUGAAAGACACACUUGAUAAUAAAGACAGGUGAUUCCAUGCAGGAUCUAAUGAUGCAAUACAUACUAGGACGCCAAUAGAUGGGUUCCCAGGUAUGAUUGCCAAUCGUGUAUCGUGUAUUGUCCCACACAUGUUGAAGCGCGUAGACACUUUAUACACACAUCAGAUGAGAUUUGGUGAAGAAAAUCAUGUAAACUAUACGCACAUGUUGAAAUCUAUUAAAACAACAGUCAUAUCGGACAUGCUCAUAUUGAGGCAUUACCACUGGCUGUUCUUAGGUGGUAAUCCAGCUUUUAUCAUUUAAUGUAUAUUGGUGUGUUUUGUUUAUAGUCAUGUAUUAAUAUAUAUGCAAAAUUGAGAAAAAUGCCUGAACAGUAUUAUAGAGUUUCACUGUGUAUUCAAUAUGUAUUUAUUUCAAAAUUUAAACCUGUCAUGAACUUAGAUUAAAAUCGUCUAAUUUCAUACAUUGUACCCACCCCCAGCGUUCUCUAGGGAUGUGAAUAAACUAUGAACGAGGUAGCCGUAGUGUAAUGGAUAAGGUGUUUGCCAAGCGACCGGGUGGUCAUGGGUUCAGGAAGAUGUGUUCGAUAGUAUAGUAUGGUUACUAAAUACAUAACCUUGCAGUUUAACAAUUAGGCAAAUGUUAAUGUGUUAUCGUGUCGGAAUUUCCCCUGCCCUGUACACCAUGGAACACGCAUUUUAGUUAUUCCUUCCUGAUCAAGGUAGGUACCAAUUAAUGUGUUAACAAAAUAGAGGGUUGGCAACUUGAAACAGUUAGUAAUUAGUAAAGUGUAUUGUAUUUUAUGUGUUACUCGUUGGUCUGUGUUUAACACCUGACCGAUAUAUUCCGGCCAAGAGAAAUACUAAUUCUGCAAAUUUGUCUCUGAUAAUUUAACUUGUAAUUUUACCGCAGAUUUGUAGUAUAUCUAGCAUAAUGCAUUCGACUAUUCAACUGAUUUAGCCAAGAAAUCAAUCGGAUUAAUAAACACGCCGGUAUUUGGCAGAAAAAUUUCGAAGAAGAAACAAUCAACUCUUAAUUAUUAGGAACUAAUUUCAACCAUGGAAGGAUACACAACGAAUAAGUCGAAUUCAAACACGUUUGUUAUUUCAAAACACUUUGCUUGGGUGAAAAACUAAUAGAACAUCAAAAAUACAUUUCAAUGUAUAGUACUUUGUAACUAUUGUAUUUCCACUAUACAUACAGGCUACUUGACGCGAAUUCCUUUUAGCAAAGUGUUACCAAUUUUCGUUUGUCGUCUUGCAAACAAAUGUUGAUUUAGAACAAAAUAUUAACAAUUCCAUACAUGAUAUAAGCUUAUUGUAUGACCAAUAAUAAUGUAGCAUACUGUUAACGAUACAAUCAAUCAUGACUUGGUACAAAAAACAAGACAACAUGGAUUUGAUACAUGUAAGCACACUUUUCAUAUUUGUAGUUCACAUCUCUAGUUGACGUAGAGAACAUUAUUAACAUUAAAGUAAGAUGGCAUAUACAUUUAUGAACACACUUCAUGCACCACAUACAAUACAAACAAAGCUUGUUUUCUUCUUAGAACAAUAUCAAAACAUAAUAUAGUUGGCUUAUUUUCAUUCCGAAACUGUUACCGUUAGACUUAGCAUGUUUUGUUGUUGUUGUUUUUUUUCAAAAUAUUACAACCAACCUUAAAUGUUCCUGAUCUCUG